AGCCGUGUGGGGAGCACAAAGCGAACUAUUCUUUCGCCUUUUACUAAAGAAUACCGUGUGCCCCCCAUCCAAAACGGCAUACAUUUAUUUUUGGAGGAGCCGUUCCAUAAAUGGUUU
rfam:Vitis vinifera, whole genome shotgun sequence of line PN40024, unoriented chromosome 15, chr15